AGCGAACGCUGGCGGCAGGCCUAACACAUGCAAGUCGAACGAAGUCUUCGGACUUAGUGGCGGACGGGUGAGUAACACGUGGGAACGUGCCUUUAGGUUCGGAAUAACUCAGGGAAACUUGUGCUAAUACCGAAUGUGCCCUUCGGGGGAAAGAUUUAUCGCCUUUAGAGCGGCCCGCGUCUGAUUAGCUAGUUGGUGAGGUAAUGGCUCACCAAGGCUACGAUCAGUAGCUGGUCUGAGAGGAUGACCAGCCACAUUGGGACUGAGACACGGCCCAAACUCCUACGGGAGGCAGCAGUGGGGAAUCUUGCGCAAUGGGCGAAAGCCCGACGCAGCCAUGCCGCGUGGAUGAUGAAGGUCUUAGGAUUGUAAAAUCCUUUCACCGGUGAAGAUAAUGACUGUAGCCGGAGAAGAAGCCCCGGCUAACUUCGUGCCAGCCGCCGCCGUAAAAC
rnacentral:rRNA from 1 species